AUGGAGACUAAAUGUCAAUGGGGUUGGCCGGUUAAAGCUUUUCUCAGAUGUCGCCAGCGUAGCUUGUUCCCUUGUCACAGAGAGCCGCCAUUUUGUAUGUUUUGCGUUCGUGAUAUUUCGGCAUUUUGUGACUUUGAUACGGUUCUUAUUACUUUCUAAGUAGUGCUAAACAGUUUUACAACAUGUAUUCCAACUGGGUAGUUAAAGAAUUAAAGGAGGAGUUGAGAAAACGUGCUGCAUCUUUACGAGGAAAAAAAGUGGAUUUUGUCGAAAGAUUAGAGUUAUAUGACCAAAAUUUUACUUUUGAAACAAAAUGAAAAAAUUGCUCUAGCAAAAUAUGCUAAUAUAUAUGAUUUGCUAGUGGAGCCAUGUGCCAUUUUCAUUAGCCAAGAGCGCCCAUAUUUUGCUGCAUCUCCUGAUGGUGUGUUGGGCGAAGAAACUAUAAUUGAAGUGAAAUGUCCAUACGCUAGAAGAAAACAUAAAAUAAAUAUAACAACGGUGCCUUAUUUAGAACAACGUAACGGGAUAUUGUCUCUAAAAAAACCUGCCCAUAUUAUUAUCAAAUCCAAGGGCAGUUAUACUGCUCAGGCAAAACAUACUGCAACUUGGUCAUUUACACCUACAAGGACAUCAAAGUGAUUUAUGUUGAAAAAGAAUAAUUUUAUAAAUAAUAUGUUAAAUAAAUGAGAUACCUUUUAUGAAAAUAUUUUCAAAGACGCAUUGUAUGAAAAAUAUCUGUAUUAUAACUAUACACACUUGUCGAAAUAAAAAAUCAGGAAUA